ACUCAAAUGAAUUGACGGGGGCCCGCACAAGCGGUGGAGUAUGUGGUUUAAUUCGAAGCAACGCGCAGAACCUUACCUGGGUUUGACAUCUCGUGAAGUUUGCAGAGAUGUAAACGUCCUUUCGGGGACACGAAGACAGGUGCUGCAUGGCUGUCGUCAGCUCGUGUCGUAAGAUGUUGGGUUAAGUCCCGCAACGAGCGCAACCCUUGCCUCUAGUUGCCACCAUUAAGUUGAGCACUCUGGAGGGACUGCCGGUGUUAAACCGGAGGAAGGCGGGGAUGACGUCAAGUCCUCAUGGCCCUUACAUCCAGGGCUACACACGUACUACAAUGGCAGAGACAAACCGUCGCGAAACCGUAAGGUGGAGCUAAUCGGAAAAACACUGCCCCAGUUCGGAUUGAAGUCUGCAACUCGACUUCAUGAAGUUGGAAUCGCUAGUAAUCGCAGAUCAGCACGCUGCGGUGAAUACGUUCCCGGGCCUUGUACACACCGCCCGU
rnacentral:rRNA from 1 species